rnacentral:antisense_RNA from 1 species
CUCCUGGGGUGCAGAGGAGGAUUUGUGACAACCCAGAGCACAGCGGAAAUGGUGGUUUUGAAAAAGCAAAUGGCAGUGCGUAAACCAUAAGUCACAAGGAAGGUGCACCUCAUCAUUAGAAUGCAUGUGACAGCAGCAAAGGAAGCAGCAGCUCAGAAAAGACAAGACCACUGUUCUUGCUUGCAUGACAGUAGCACUUCUUAGGGCAACUGAGUGACAAGCAUAAUUCUCUCCAAAGUAAAAGUCCCUUUUGUUUCUGCAGUUUUA